AUAUACAUUUAUAUGUGUAUAUAUACAUAUAUGGCAGAUAUGACAUUUUAGAAUAGUCAUCUAGGCCUCUGCUAAUUUUAUCUCUAUUUGAAAUUAAUGUUGUAAUUAGAUCGAAUAUUAAAAGAUUAAUAGUAAUUCUCUUUUGUUAACAUUCCUUUGCUUCCUGUGUUUGGUUUUUUUAGCACCAAACUUUUAUGAACUGAAGUGCGCUCUCUCCCCUUAGCAUCGCAUCCACAGCCAUCACUGCAGUUGCAUUGUGUAUAACCAACAGAUGGAGAUCGUGAAUACAUCUCUUAAAGCCUUUAGUCAGCCACAGAGAACUGCCGACACACAUUGCUGUUUCGUAGGAGAGCUCCAGCCUUAAUCUUUUUGAAACCGUUUCAUGCACCUCGGAUUCCAACGCCCCACCACAAGCUUAACAUAUCAGAUGCCUGGCUGUGGAUUCAACAUAUUGGAAUUCCUCCCUCCUGCUCUGGCCUGGUGGAAGCAGCUAGGCUAACCACCUUGGAUUAAUCCAAGGCUAACAUUCUUGCCCAUGAGGUUCCUUAGAACUCAGAUUCCAAGCCAGAAAGAACAAUAAGUGCCCCAUUGGAGAUCUUCUUUGGAGAUCCUCUUUCAUUCUUCUUCAAGGCUCUACGCAUUGGUUUGUAUCCACUGGAGUGUACUUCUUUAUUCAUUCAUUGAACAAAUAUUGACUAAGCACUUAUAUGUCCCGGGUACUACUUGGGGCCUUGGGGAUAUACUAGUCAAUAAGACAUGCAGAAACUUUGCACACAUGAGGCCUACAAUCUAGUAGAGUCAUACAGAAAAGAAACCAACAAAUAUGUAAUAAAUCAGAUGGUGAUUAGUGCUAUGAGAAACAAUAAAGCUGCUUAAAAAUAUAUGAUGCGGGGGUCAUUUUAUAUAGGAUUUGAUGAAAAUGCCUUUCUGAGAAGUUUGGUGGCUACUGAUAGUAGGAUGUGCAGAUAUCUUUUGAUGAAGAAAAUCGACAUGUGUAGCUGGAGCACAGGGGCAGCGAAAGGGGUAGGAGCUAAGGCUGGUGAGAUACUGGAGGUGUGAGCUCCACUCUAGCCUUGUAGGCUGCUAGGAUGAUGGAAUUCCGCUUACUGACUGGGAAGUCUUGGGAGGGUUUCUAACACAAGUGCAACAUUAUCUGACUUCUACUUUUUGAAGGAGGACACUGGUUGCCAAGAGGAGAAGAGCUUGUAGAGGGGGCAGGAUGGAGGUUACUGUAGACAUUGAAGUGGAGGGUAGUCAGUGGGCACUUGGAUGGGAAUGGUGGGAGUGGAGGUGGUCAUAAAAUGUCGGGCUUUGAAGGUAGAAUUGCACUGAUUUGUGAAUGAAUUGGAUGAAGUUAAGGGAGGAGGAGUGGAGUAAAGGAUAGCUUUAGGGUCUACCCUGUUUUUCUUUACUACAAAUAAUUCUGAAGUAAAUAAUGUUUGUACUUAUCUCUUUCUGAAAAUGUGCAGUGUCUCUAGAAUAUAUACCUAGGAGUAUACAUUUUGAAUGUGUAUGUAUAUGUUCUAAUUAUUAAAUAUUUCAAUAUUGCAUUCUAAGGUAGUUAGAACAAUUGAUAUCCAACUGUUUAUGGGUGUCUUGGUCCUUUUGGGCUGCUGUAACUGUACCAUAGACUGAGUGGCUUAUAAACAACAAAAAUGUGUUUCUUAAGUUCUAGAGGUUGAGAAAUUCAAGAUCAAGUCACUGGCAGAUCCAGUGUCUGGUGAGGGCCUGUUUCCUGGUUUGUAGAUGGUUUCGUUCUUGCUGUGUCCUUACAUGGCAGAAGGGAUAAGGGAGCUCUCAAGUGUCUCUUUUAUAAGGGCACUAAUCUCAUUCGUGAGGGCUCCACCCUCAUGACCUAAUUAACUUCCAAAGGCCCCACCUCCAAAAACCAUCACAAUGGGAAUUAUGUUUCAACAUAUGAAUUUUGGGGGGACACAAACUUCAGUCUAUAGCAAUGGGACUUUUUGUGGCUCCAAUUCUUCAUCAACAUUUCAGAGUGUUGGGCAUCUUAAUUUUUGCCAAUCUGAUGGAUAUUAAAGAGUAUUUAAUUACUGGCUAAAUUUGCAUUUCCCUAUUAGUGAGUAUGUUUUAUAUUUAUUUACCUUUCACCUUCUCUGUAUUCCCUGUUCAUAUCUUAGA